rnacentral:rRNA from 1 species
CCUACGGGAGGCAGCAGUAAGGAAUAUUGGUCAAUGGAGGCAACUCUGAACCAGCCAUGCCGCGUGCAGGAAGACUGCCCUAUGGGUUGUAAACUGCUUUUAUCCGGGAAUAAACCUGCGUACGUGUAAGUAGCUGAAUGUACCGGAAGAAUAAGGAUCGGCUAACUCCGUGCCAGCAGCCGCGGUAAUACGGAGGAUCCAAGCGUUAUCCGGAUUUAUUGGGUUUAAAGGGUGCGUAGGCGGCCUGUUAAGUCAGGGGUGAAAGACGGUAGCUCAACUAUCGCAGUGCCCUUGAUACUGAUGGGCUUGAAUGGACUAGAGGUAGGCGGAAUGAGACAAGUAGCGGUGAAAUGCAUAGAUAUGUCUCAGAACACCGAUUGCGAAGGCAGCUUACUAUGGUCUUAUUGACGCUGAGGCACGAAAGCGUGGGGAUCAAACAGGAUUAGAUACCCUGGUAGUCCACGCCCUAAACGAUGAACACUCGCUGUUGGCGAUACACAGUCAGCGGCUAAGCGAAAGCGUUAAGUGUUCCACCUGGGGGAGGUACGCCCGACCGAAGGUAGAACGUACGAAGGAAAGUUAGUACGGACGUAGAGACGUUGCCGACGGACGACGACGAGGGAGGAGG